GCGAGAGUGGUGAAAUUGGUAGACACGCCAGACUUAGGAUCUGGUGCCAAAAGCUUAAGGGUUCGAGUCCCUUCUCUCGCA
rnacentral:tRNA from 2 species